GUGGGGAAUAUUGGACAAUGGGCGCAAGCCUGAUCCAGCCAUGCCGCGUGAGUGAUGAAGGCCUUAGGGUUGUAAAGCUCUUUCACCGAUGAAGAUAAUGACGGUAGUCGGAGAAGAAGCCCCGGCUAACUUCGUGCCAGCAGCCGCGGUAAUACGAAGGGGGCUAGCGUUGUUCGGAUUUACUGGGCGUAAAGCGCACGUAGGCGGUUUGUUAAGUCAGAGGUGAAAUCCCGGAGCUCAACUCCGGAACUGCCUUUGAUACUGGCAAGCUAGAGUCCGGAAGAGGUAAGUGGAACUCCUAGUGUAGAGGUGGAAUUCGUAGAUAUUAGGAAGAACACCAGUGGCGAAGGUGGCUUACUGGUCCGGAACUGACGCUGAGGUGCGAAAGCGUGGGGAGCAAACAGGAUUAGAAACCCCUGUAGUCC
rnacentral:rRNA from 1 species